rnacentral:rRNA from 1 species
UACAGAGGUCCCGAGCGUUGUUCGGAUUCAUUGGGCGUAAAGGGUGCGUAGGCGGCGGGGAAAGUCUGAUGUGAAAUCCUGGGGCUCAACCCUGGAACUGCAUUGGAUACUUCCUUGCUAGAGUACUGGAGAGGAAACUGGAAUUUACGGUGUAGCAGUGAAAUGCGUAGAGAUCGUAAGGAAGACCAGUGGCGAAGGCGAGUUUCUGGACAGUUACUGACGCUGAGGCACGAAGGCCAGGGGAGCAAAACGGG